GUCCAGGGAAUCCAGGGCAAUUGAGACAGUAUCUGUUACAGGAAUCAACUCCUGGAUACAUCACACUCAAGUCAAAGCCUGGAAAGCUGAGGAAGCAACCCCUGACAGCCCAAAGGAACAUCCUAAAUAUCAAUGUAAAGAAAUAGGAAAUCUUAAGCUGAAAAUCAUAAAAAAUAAGUAACUAAGUGAGAACUAGUCAUCUUACUCAGUCUCACCCCUACUUCACCAAAUACUUUUUGUCGUUCCUACCUCUCCUUCUCAGCCAAAUAUUAAAACCUUUUAAUGGAAAUUUUCGACUAUGCCACCCUGUGGGAACUGCUUUACUCACUCUACUAUUUGCAGUAGGACUAUAUGCUGUAGCAGCCUCGGGGUGGAAUAUCAGACAGAGAAUCUCAGUUACUGUAGCAUUUUGCUUAAUUAUUAUCCUCAUAGCAGGAAAAAUGGUUACUAACAAAAAGUAACACACGGGCCUUUCCAAACAUGUGCCUCUGCAUCUCAUUAGGUAAGGAAUGUUGUUUCUAUCUCAACCAGUUGGGCCUAGUAAGAGACACUGCUGAAAAAUUUAAAGAAAGGGCUGAAAAGGAUCAUGGCCAUUUCACAGACAACUACCCAAAAACAUCUACAGACGACAUUACUCCUACAGUCAAUCUGAGACCAGAAAACUCUCUGUCCUCCCAUCAGCAGGAAGUAGCUAGAAAGAACAUGCCACCUCUCUUCCUUUUUAUAACUAUAGGGUCUGGAUUGACAGAGCAGGAGCAUCACCAUCUUGGACAAGCACCACCAUUUUUAAGUUCACCUUGAUCAAAAGCCGCCUAAAUCCAAAGGGCAUCAGCCUAAUGGCUAAGGUCAGCAUGACCAUAAACCACAAAUGACAUCUCCGACCAGAAACAUUCCAACCAUAAGAUAAAUCCCUCCCCGACCAGAGACAUGCCAGCCCUGAGAUAACCUCUCCUCCGACCAGAGACACUCCAACCCGCAAUAAAUUUCUCCCCCACACACAGAAACAUUCCAAGCCUGUGAUAAGCUUUCUCACCCUAAAACCAAUACUCUUAGUCUGUAAGAGAGAGCACUCCUGACAGAAAUUGGCCAGAAGCCCCUCUCAGGUUUAUUCUCCAAAAUAAACCUGACUUUAACUGUUGAGCCAUUUUUCGUGUUUCUUUCCUCUUUCUUUAAUUCUUACACUGAGGACUAAAGAAGAGAUGGCUGUCCAAGUCCACCUGGAGCCCUGAUAGCUGUCCAGCCUGUGUGCAUCACACUGCAGGCCCUGUCUGGGGUCAGUCUGAGGAUAGCUUCCCCCAAUGGUGACCCCAGGCUUUUUCACUGUGGUGGGUCCAUUUUACUACUGUUACAGGACUUCCUCUUCUCCCUGGCUGUGGACCCAUUUCCAGCUAUCACCUUUGACAAAUUGGCAAAUUCUUAAGUAACCUGAAUCUCCUCUGUAUUUGGUCAUUCCAGCUACUCCCAGUGCCCAGUAUACCCACCUCUGGCACUGGUCUUGCGGGGCCAAAGGACAAACUCUUUUUACCUUUCACCAUCAAGCCCCUGUCUACUCGUCCCUUAUGGGAGAAGCUUCAAGUGGUCCACAUGGGACCAGAUUCAGCCAACAGAUUCUAGUGCCAUAACUGAGUUUUCUGAAAGUUGUUCCUGAAAGACUGAUUAAGCUACCUUUGCAUCUUGGCCCAGUUAAAACAGCAAUUCCUACCAAGAGGAGUGCUCAGGUAAGAAGAAAGUAGAACAAUUUGAGCCACCCCAAAAAGGUGGUGAUGCCAGUUAGCAACUGCUUGACUCUAGAGAAAUGAGACCAUGUCUUAUUCCUUGCUCUGCUCCCAGAGCCUUGCGCAGGCCUGGCUCAGAGUAGGCACCAUUCAUUGACUGAAUGAACUAUUCCCAUGAGUGCUGGGAGUGUUUUCCCACCCAAAUGAUCAGUAACCCUUCCUCUUCUUCAAAUUCAGCCUUUGCUGUUGCUCAAUAAAUGUAUGUUGAAAGGAAAAAGAUGAGGGGUCAGCUCUUCAGAGGACUGAAGAAGUGAGAACAAAAUAUCCAGGCUUGUCAUAAUCUCAAGGAAAAAGCAAGUGGUGUCACUUGCUCAAGGAUGAGGAUUAAGCAAUAGGUGUGUGGAGUUGGGUCCUCAAUCGUGGGGAAGGUUCUAAACAGAUUGCCCUAGGAUCUCAGUGAGGCGUGAAGCUUAUUCAAGUUCUCACCUGCUAUUUUCCCUGUCUUCAAAACACUCCUCUAGGCUGGGCACAGUGGCUCACACCCGUAUUCCCAGCACUUUGGGAAGCCGAGGUGGAUGGAUCACUUGAACCCAGGAAUUUGAGACCAGCCUGGCCGACAUGGAGAAACCCUGUCUCUACUAAAAAUACAAAAAAAAAUUAGCCAGGCAUGGUGGUGCAUGCCUGUAGUCCCAGCUACUCAGGAGGCUGAGGAAGGAGAAUCUCUUGAACUCAGGAGGCAGAGAUUGCAGUGAGCCAAGAUCACACCUCUGCACUCCAGCCUGGGCAAUAGGGCAAGACUGUUUCACACAUACACACACACACACACACACACACACACACACACAGACACACACACACACACACAAAAGACUCCUCCACUCACCUGUGCUUCUUUUCUCUUUUACCCUUCCGCCUCUGGUUAAAUGUUAGUUCCUCAAGGAGACCUUUCCUAGCCACCAGACUAGGUCAGAGUCCUCUUUUCGUGCCCUGACAGCCAGCAUCCAGUACCUUCCAGUCACAACGCUGAUCAGAGUUUGUAACUGCAUAUUACUCUGUGUAUGUUUGUUUGCUGUCUGUUUCCCCUGUUCCCUGAAAGGCAGUGCCACUCCUGUUUUGCUCUCCAUUGUAUCCCCAGCACAGGGGCUGGCUCAUAGUUGAUAUUCAAAAACCAUCUGAUGGAGAAAGGAAUGAAUGAAUUGUAUUCUAUCAUUUAAUGCUCAGAACAAUCUUGGGUCUUCAGUGUUGUAUUUGUCUCCCUUUCACAUGAGGAAAGUGAAAAUUAGAACUCUAGGGGGACACAGAGGGGACUGGAAUCAGUUCUACUGGAUCAACAGCCCACAUCUGCCCUGCUGCCUGGGUGAAGCGGAGGGUCCAGGUUAGUGAGAAUGGGAGAGAUGCAGGGGAGACAGGAAGACAGUCAGGAAGGGCCAGGGCCAAGUCCGGAACAGUGAGGAAGGGAAAGAAGUCCAGGAUGCUGCCCAGCUGACUUCAGCCUGACCCUGGGAGUCAAGAAGGAUGGGUGAAUGGGUGUAUGUCAUUGACGUGGAGCAGGGCAAAGGGGGUGCAGACUCGACGGGCUGUGGAUUUCUUCUCAAUUAUCUUCUGAAUUAUCUUGAUGUCUUCAAGAGGCAGUGCAAUCCUAGUUAAAAGAUGAAUUCCAGAGGCUGGCUCUGCUUCUGCUCUCAACCUGCUGUGUGAACUUAAACAAGUGAUUAAACAUCUCUGUGCCU
rnacentral:lncRNA from 1 species